UUCAGAUUUGGCUUCCACUACCACUACCGCUACCUCUCGCUAAUCUAUUAGAUCGGACAGAGCGAGGACGCUAAACAAACUGCAGUAAUUUAUUCUAUUCAAGUUGGUGUGCGCUAACUAAAAGAACAGAGAACCAACAGUGGCGAGGCGCUACGUGUUAAAGGUUUAGAAGAUCAGUAGCUCACGAAAGACAAGAAACUGAUAUCUGACUAGAGGUACAAAUCGUAAAUAUUAUUGGUGAAAAGCGGCUGCCGAAAACAAAAACAGAAGUGGAUCUGACCCAAAGAAUCUGAAAAAAACAACUGCUACGGCUGAGAUCACGAACACACACAUUGCAUACACAUUCAAGCGAUAAAAAGCAAUGUUACAUCUCCAGGGUAGUGUUGGUGUAAGACCUAAUUCAAAAUAUUCUUUAAAACAGGCUAGGUCAGUCGAUAAAUAUACACUAAACGAUGAUCGAUUAACCCAUCCAGAUGAGAUACCUCAUUAUAUUUUUAAUAAACUGAUGAUAGUUGAUUACCGUGUCCGUGAAUUUAAAUUAAAUAACGAAGCUAGAAAUACUUACGACUCCGUUGAGAGCAAGGAUGAAGAUAAUGAGAGG
rnacentral:misc_RNA from 1 species